GGCCUUGCGCUCUUUGAGCGGCCGAUGUCAGAUUAGCUAGUUGGUGAGGUAAAGGCUUACCAAGGCGACGAUCUGUAGCGGGUCUGAGAGGACGAUCCGCCACACUGGAACUGAGACACGGUCCAGACUCCUACGGGAGGCAGCAGUGGGGAAUUUUGGACAAUGGGGGCAACCCUGAUCCAGCCAUGCCGCGUGAGUGAAGAAGGCCUUCGGGUUGUAAAGCUCUUUCGGCCGGGAAGAAAUCGCAUGGGCCAAUACCCUGUGUGGAUGACGGUACCGGAAUAAGAAGCACCGGCUAACUACGUGCCAGCAGCCGCGGUAAUACGUAGGGUGCGAGCGUUAAUCGGAAUUACUGGGCGUAAAGCGUGCGCAGGCGGUUUUGUAAGACAGGCGUGAAAUCCCCGGGCUUAACCUGGGAACUGCGUUUGUGACUGCAAGGCUAGAGUACGGCAGAGGGGGGUGGAAUUCCACGUGUAGCAGUGAAAUGCGUAGAGAUGUGGAGGAACACCAAUGGCGAAGGCAGCCCCCUGGGUCGAUGCUGACGCUCAUGCACGAAAGCGUGGGUAGCAAACAGGAUUAGAUACCCUGGUAGUCCACGCCCUAAACUAUGUCAACUAGGUGUUGGGUGGGUAAAACCAUUUAGUACCGUAGCUAACGCGUGAAGUUGACCGCCUGGGGAGUACGGCCGCAAGGUUAAAACUCAAAGGAAUUGACGGGGACCCGCACAAGCGGUGGAUAAUGUGGAUUAAUUCGAUGCAACGCGAAAAACCUUACCUACCCUUGACAUGCCAGGAACUUGCCAGAGAUGGCUUGGUGCCCGAAAGGGAGCCUGGACACAGGUGCUGCAUGGCUGUCGUCAGCUCGUGUCGUGAGAUGUUGGGUUAAGUCCCGCAACGAGCGCAACCCUUGUCGUUAAUUGCCAUCAUUUAGUUGGGCACUUUAACGAGACUGCCGGUGACAAACCGGAGGAAGGUGGGGAUGACGUCAAGUCCUCAUGGCCCUUAUGGGUAGGGCUUCACACGUCAUACAAUGGUCGGUACAAAGGGUUGCCAAGCCGCGAGGCGGAGCCAAUCCCAGAAAGCCGAUCGUAGUCCGGAUUGCAGGCUGCAACUCGCCUGCAUGAAGUCGGAAUCGCUAGUAAUCGUGGAUCAGCAUGUCACGGUGAAUACGUUCCCGGGUCUUGUACACACCGCCCGUCACACCAUGGGAGCGGGUUCCGCCAGAAGUAGGUAGCCUAACCGCAAGGGGGGCGCUUACCACGGCGGGGUUCGUGACUGGGGUGAAGUCGAAACAAGGUA
rnacentral:rRNA from 1 species